UACGUAGGGCGCAAGCGUUAUCCGGAAUUAUUGGGCGUAAAGAGCGUGUAGGCGGCCAGGUAGGUCGGCUGUGAAAACUCGAGGCUCAACCUCGAGCUGUCGGCCGAAACCAUCUGGCUAGAGUCCGGAAGAGGAGAAUGGAAUUCCCGGUGUAGCGGUGAAAUGCGCAGAUAUCGGGAAGAACACCCGUGGCGAAGGCGGUUCUCUGGGACGGUACUGACGCUGAGGCGCGAAAGCCAGGGGAGCAAACGGG
rnacentral:rRNA from 1 species